rnacentral:rRNA from 1 species
ACGGGUGAGUAACACGUGGGUAACCUACCUUAAAGUGGGGGAUAACACUUGGAAACAGGUGCUAAUACCGCAUAACCAUCAAAACCGCCUGGUUUUGAUGUUAAAGAUGGUUCUGCUAUCGCUUUAAGAUGGACCCGCGGCGUAUUAGCUAGUUGGUGAGGUAACGGCUUACCAAGGCAAUGAUACGUAGCCGAACUGAGAGGUUGAUCGGCCACAUUGGGACUGAGACACGGCCCAAACUCCUACGGGAGGCAGCAGUAGGGAAUCUUCCACAAUGGACGAAAGUCUGAUGGAGCAACGCCGCGUGAGUGAAGAAGGUUUUCGGAUCGUAAAACUCUGUUGUCAGAGAAGAACGUGUGUGAGAGUAACUGUUCACGCAGUGACGGUAUCUGACCAGAAAGUCACGGCUAACAACGUGCCACCACCCGCGGUAAUACGUAGGUGGCAAGCGUUGUCCGGAUUUAUUGGGCGUAAAGGGAACGCAUGCGGUCUUUUAAGUCUGAUGUGAAAGCCUU